GGACAGAUGGCCGAGCUGGUUAUGGCGCCAGGUUAAGGACGCACCUUAGCAUUUUCUCCUGGUCACGAAAGUGGCGUGGGUUCGAGUCCCACUCUGUUCA